UGAAGUUGCUCUCUCAAAAAGUGUAGUUGCGCUCUCCGUCUCCAUCUCCGUCACCGCGUCUCCGUCUCCGUCACCGCGUCCUUCCGUCUUCAUCUUCUACGUGUCAUCCUGUUCGUCUUCAUCUUCUCUGUCUUAAGGUUGAGUGAUUUAUUGCCGAAAUUAUGACAUCAUCAAAAAAUGGCGACGAAACUGAAGUGCGAAUGAGGCAUAGAUGUAUCUCGGUGAAUUUGAGCAGCAUCAAUGAAAAGUUAACAAAAACUCAACGUGCUCACAUCGAAUGCACCCCAUUCAAAUGGGCGAUGGAUAUUUCUAACAACUUCUCAAUCUCAGGUGGUUUAUUAUGGGAGUUGGUAAGUAGAUGGGACGUACGUAGUAGGGGAUUUAGGGUUAGGGAUAGAAUAGUUCCCUUUACUCCAGUUGAUGUUUCUUUUGCUCUUGGAUUGUCUAUUGUUGGUAAGUCUCUAGUAGUAGAAGAAGAUCAACAAUUUGAAACAUGACAUCUAUUUAAAGGGGCUGAGGUAACCAUUAACAAUAUUCGCAAACAACUUCGUUGCCAUAAGAAAAAAUUAGUUAAUUUUGUUAGACUUUACAUAUUACUUGCAUUUGCGGAGUUUUACUUUCCCAAAACAGGGAAUAAGGUAUUUACGGGAUUUGUUAAACAACUUCAGUUGUGUUGAAGGAGGGAAAAAAACAAGGCACAAAGACAUUUAAACGGGUGUGCUGCCAUAUUGCAGGUAAAUAUAUUAUACUACUUUAUAGUUCCAUCUUGUGUUUUGAAACUUUGAAAUUUUGAAAUUUUGAAAUUUACAACUCCUAAUAUUUGUUACAGAUUUGGGCAUUCAAUCACUUAUCUUUGGGGAAAGCACCAGCUGUUUCUAGGUUUAGUUUUCCACGUGUAUUGAAUUGGCCGGUUAUAAGUAUGCAGAAGAAAAAUAUUGAAAAAGAA